rnacentral:rRNA from 2 species
CAAGUCGAGCGUGAAAGGUCUUCGGACUGAGUAAAGCGGCGGACGGGUGAGUAAUGCUUGGGAAUCUACCUAGUAGUGGGGGAUAACGUGUGGAAACGCACGCUAAUACCGCAUACGUCCUACGGGAGAAAGCAGGGGACCUUCGGGCCUUGCGCUAUUAGAUGAGCCCAAGUCGGAUUAGCUAGUUGGUAGGGUAAAGGCCUACCAAGGCGACGAUCCGUAGCUGGUCUGAGAGGAUGAUCAGCCACACUGGGACUGAGACACGGCCCAGACUCC